AGAGUUUGAUCCUGGCUCAGGACGAACGCUGGCGGCGUGCCUAAUACAUGCAAGUCGAACGCACUCUCGUUUAGAUUGAAGGAGCUUGCUCCUGAUUGAUAAACAUUUGAGUGAGUGGCGGACGGGUGAGUAACACGUGGGUAACCUGCCCUAAAGUGGGGGAUAACAUUUGGAAACAGAUGCUAAUACCGCAUAAAACCUAACACCGCAUGGUGUAGGGUUGAAAGAUGGUUUCGGCUAUCACUUUAGGAUGGACCCGCGGUGCAUUAGUUAGUUGGUGAGGUAAAGGCUCACCAAGACCGUGAUGCAUAGCCGACCUGAGAGGGUAAUCGGCCACACUGGGACUGAGACACGGCCCAGACUCCUACGGGAGGCAGCAGUAGGGAAUCUUCCACAAUGGACGAAAGUCUGAUGGAGCAACGCCGCGUGAGUGAAGAAGGUUUUCGGAUCGUAAAACUCUGUUGUUGGAGAAGAAUGUAUCUGAUAGUAACUGAUCAGGUAGUGACGGUAUCCAACCAGAAAGCCACGGCUAACUACGUGCCAGCAGCCGCGGUAAUACGUAGGUGGCAAGCGUUGUCCGGAUUUAUUGGGCGUAAAGCGAGCGCAGGCGGUUUCUUAAGUCUGAUGUGAAAGCCUUCGGCUCAACCGAAGAAGUGCAUCGGAAACUGGGAAACUUGAGUGCAGAAGAGGACAGUGGAACUCCAUGUGUAGCGGUGAAAUGCGUAGAUAUAUGGAAGAACACCAGUGGCGAAGGCGGCUGUCUGGUCUGUAACUGACGCUGAGGCUCGAAAGCAUGGGUAGCAAACAGGAUUAGAUACCCUGGUAGUCCAUGCCGUAAACGAUGAG
rnacentral:rRNA from 1 species